rnacentral:rRNA from 1 species
GACGAACGCUGGCGGCGUGCUUAACACAUGCAAGUCGAGCGGUAAGGCUCCUUCGGGAGUACACGAGCGGCGAACGGGUGAGUAACACGUGAGCAAUCUGCCCAUCUCUUUGGAAUAAGCGUUGGAAACGACGUCUAAUGCCGAAUACGACCUCCUUUCGCAUGAUCGGAGGUGGAAAGCUCCGGCGGAGAUGGAUGAGCUCGCGGCCUAUCAGCUAGUUGGNGAGGUAACGGCCCACCAAGGCGACGACGGGUAGCCGGCCUGAGAGGGUGACCGGCCACACUGGGACUGAGACACGGCCAGACUCCUACGGGAGGCAGCAGUGGGGAAUAUUGGACAAUGGGCGAAAGCCUGAUCCAGCAACGCCGCGUGA